GACGAACGCUGGCGGCGUGCUUAACACAUGCAAGUCGAACGGAAAGGCCCUGCUUGCCGGGUACUCGAGUGGCGAACGGGUGAGUAACACGUGGGUGAUCUGCCCUGCACUUCGGGAUAAGCCUGGGAAACUGGGUCUAAUACCGGAUAGGAGCCAUUUUUAGUGUGAUGGUUGGAAAGUUUUUUCGGUGUAGGAUGAGCUCGCGGCCUAUCAGCUUGUUGGUGGGGUAAUGGCCUACCAAGGCGGCGACGGGUAGCCGGCCUGAGAGGGUGGACGGCCACAGUGGGACUGAGAUACGGCCCAGACUCCUACGGGAGGCAGCAGUGGGGAAUAUUGCACAAUGGGCGCAAGCCUGAUGCAGCGACGCCGCGGGGGGGAUGACGGCCUUCGGGUUGUAAACUCCUUUCGCUAGGGACGAAGCUUUUUGUGACGGUACCUAGAGAAGAAGCACCGGCUAACUACGUG
rnacentral:rRNA from 1 species